UGGGGAAUAUUGCGCAAUGGGCGAAAGCCUGACGCAGCGACGCCGCGUGGGUGAUGAAGGCCUUCGGGUCGUAAAGCCCUGUCAAGAGGGACGAAACCUCGUCGACCGAAUACGUCGGCGACCUGACGGUACCUCUGAAGGAAGCACCGGCUAACUCCGUGCCAGCAGCCGCGGUAAUACGGAGGGUGCAAGCGUUGUUCGGAAUCACUGGGCGUAAAGCGCGUGUAGGCGGCCUUCUCANUAUGGUGUGAAAGCCCGGGGCUCACCCCCGGAAGUGCAUUGGAUACUGGAAGGCUGGAGUACCGGAGAGGAGGGUGGAAUUCCUGGUGUAGCGGUGAAAUGCGUAGAUAUCAGGAGGAACACCGGUGGCGAAGGCGGCCCUCUGGACGGAUACUGACGCUGAGACGCGACAGCGUGGGGAGCAAACAGGAUUAGAUACCCUGGUAGUCCACGCCGUAAANGAUGGGUACUAGGUGUUCGGGGUAUUGACCCCCUGAGUGCCGCAGCUAACGCAUUAAGUACCCCNCUUUANGAGGNUACGGCCGCAAGGCUA
rnacentral:rRNA from 1 species